CACGCCGUAAACGAUGAAUACUAGGUGUAGGGGUUGUCAUGACCUCUGUGCCGCCGCUAACGCAUUAAGUAUUCCGCCUGGGGAGUACGGUCGCAAGAUUAAAACUCAAAGGAAUUGACGGGGGCCCGCACAAGCAGCGGAGCAUGUGGUUUAAUUCGAAGCAACGCGAAGAACCUUACCAAGGCUUGACAUGCACCGGUACAGUGUAGAGAUAUGCUGGCCUUUUUGGCUGGUGUGCAGGUGG
rnacentral:rRNA from 1 species